rnacentral:sRNA from 1 species
GUUAGACGUGCCUUUGCUCCUCCUCUGCCUUGCACCAUGAUUGUGAGGCCUUCCUAGUCAUGUGGAACUACGCUGCAGGAGAUCUUCCAGGCCGAGAACACCAUCAUGCUGCUGGAAAGGUCCAUCAUGGCCAAGGAGGGCCCACUGAAGGUGGCCCAGACAAGGCUGGAGUGCCGGACCCGGCGCCCCAACAUGGAGCUGUGCAGGGACAUCCCUCAGUUCAAGCUGGUGAACGAGGUGUUCACCAUCGAUGACACGCUGCAGACCCUCAAGCUGCGGCUGCGGGAGACGCAGGACACGCUGCAGCUGCUGGUCAUGACCAAGUGCCGGCUGGAGCACGAGCUCGCCAUCAAGGCCAACACCCUCUGCAUCGACAAGGAGAAGUGCAUGGGCAUGCGUAAGACCUUCCCCUGCACCCCGCGCCUGGUGGGCCACACCUGAGCACCGCCCUGGCGCCUUGUUCCAUGCUGGCGUAAAAUUGGAAAAGGCUGAGAAACAAAGUAAAACAGUAUUUUGUUUGAAA